CGAAUUCGCCCUUUGCCAGCAGCCGCGGUAAUACGAAGGGUGCAAGCGUUAUUCGGAAUCAUUGGGCGUAAAGCGCGCGCAGGCGGAUUGAUAAGUCAGGUGUGAAAUCUCGAAGCUCAACUUCGAAACUGCGCCUGAAACUAUUAGUCUAGAAUGUCGGAGGGGGCAGGGGAAUUUCACGUGUAGGGGUAAAAUCCGUAGAGAUGUGAAGGAACACCGGAGGCGAAGGCGCCUGCCUGGACGACUAUUGACGCUGAGGCGCGAAAGCGUGGGGAGCAAACAGGAUUAGAUACCCUGGUAGUCC
rnacentral:rRNA from 1 species